GCCGUUUUGAUUGCAAUUAUUAUUUCGAUAUCGAUGUUGGUAUCAUAUUGCGUUUAUCAGGUGUUUCAGCCUUGGAUCCAGAGAAGACGACUUGCUUUCGUGAAGCACAAGCAUGUCAUAUCGGGAAUUUUAAGGCACUUGAAGAUGCAUACUCUGGGAAGGCUUCUUAUUGAUGACGGGGAACCCAACACAGAGAU